CAAGACCUGCACUUUUGGAGCGGCCGAUGUCUGAUUAGCUAGUUGGUGGGGUAAUGGCCUACCAAAGCUUCGAUCAGUAGCUGGUCUGAGAGGACGGCCAGCCACACUGGGACUGAGACACGGCCCAGACUCCUACGGGAGGCAGCAGUGGGGAAUUUUGGACAAUGGGCGCAAGCCUGAUCCAGCCAUGCCGCGUGAGUGAAGAAGGCCUUCGGGUUGUAAAGCUCUUUCAGCCGGGAGGAAAAGGUUGCGACUAAUAAUCGCAAUCCAUGACGGUACCGAAAGAAGAAGCACCGGCUAACUACGUGCCAGCAGCCGCGGUAAUACGUAGGGUGCGAGCGUUAAUCGGAAUUACUGGGCGUAAAGGGUGCGCAGGCGGUUUUGUAAGUCAGAUGUGAAAUCCCCGGGCUUAACCUGGGAACU
rnacentral:rRNA from 1 species